UGGGGAAUUUUGGACAAUGGGCGAAAGCCUGAUCCAGCAAUGCCGCGUGUGUGAAGAAGGCCUUCGGGUUGUAAAGCACUUUUGUCCGGAAAGAAAUCCUUGGCUCUAAUACAGUCGGGGGAUGACGGUACCGGAAGAAUAAGCACCGGCUAACUACGUGCCAGCAGCCGCGGUAAUACGUAGGGUGCAAGCGUUAAUCGGAAUUACUGGGCGUAAAGCGUGCGCAGGCGGUUUGCUAAGACAGAUGUGAAAUCCCCGGGCUCAACCUGGGAACUGCAUUGGUGACUGGCAGGCUAGAGUAUGGCAGAGGGGGGUAGAAUUCCACGUGUAGCAGUGAAAUGCGUAGAGAUGUGGAGGAAUACCGAUGGCGAAGGCAGCCCCCUGGGCCAAUACUGACGCUCAUGCACGAAAGCGUGGGGAGCAAAACAGGAUUAGAUACCCUGGUAGUCCACGCCCUAAACGAUGUCAACUAGUUGUUGGGGAUUCAUUUCCUUAGUAACGUAGCUAACGCGUGAAGUUGACCGCCUGGGGAGUACGGUCGCAAGAUUAAAACUCAAAUGAAUUGACGGUGUCAUA
rnacentral:rRNA from 1 species